AACGAACGCUGGCGGCAGGCCUAACACAUGCAAGUCGAACGCUUCAGCAAUGAAGAGUGGCAGACGGGUGAGUAACGCGUGGGAACCUUCCCAGUGGUACGGAAUAGCCCAGGGAAACUUGGGGUAAUACCGUAUAAGCCCUUCGGGGGAAAGAUUUAUCGCCAUUGGAUGGGCCCGCGUCGGAUUAGCUUGUUGGUGAGGUAAAAGCUCACCAAGGCGACGAUCCGUAGCUGGUCUGAGAGGAUGAUCAGCCACACUGGGACUGAGACACGGCCCAGACUCCUACGGGAGGCAGCAGUGGGGAAUAUUGGACAAUGGGCGCAAGCCUGAUCCAGCCAUGCCGCGUGAGUGACGAAGGCCUUAGGGUUGUAAAGCUCUUUGGCGGGGACGAUAAUGACGGUACCCGCAGAAUAAGCUCCGGCUAACUUCGUG
rnacentral:rRNA from 1 species